AGUUGCACUUGUCGGGGAAGGGUGAGAACCUUCGAUUAAGGUUCGACUCGAGCGAAAGCGAGAGAACGUUGCCAACGGCAACGGCCCGUAGGGUGAGGAGCGAAGCGACGAAUAAUCCUUCCCCCACCACCA
rnacentral:sRNA from 1 species